AUUGAACGCUGGCGGCAGGCCUAACACAUGCAAGUCGGGCGAGCGGCGGACGGGUGAGUAAUGUAUGGGGACUGCCUGAUAGAGGGGGAUAACUACUGGAAACGGUGGCUAAUACCGCAUAAUAUCGCAUAACCCAUAUGGGAUUAGCUAGUAGGAGGGGUAAAGGCUCACCUCGAAGAUGAUCUCUCGCUGGUCUGAGGGGAUGCUCAUCCACACUGGGAAUGAGACACGGCCCAGACUCCUACGGAGGCAGCAGUGGGGAAUAUUGCACAAUGGGAGCAAUCAUGAUGCAGCCAUGCCGCGUGUAUGAAGAAAGCCUUAGGAUUGUAAAGUACGUGCAGCGGGGAGGGGUUACCCGCAGAAGAAGCACCGGCUAACGCCGUGCGAGCAGCCGCGGUAAUAC
rnacentral:rRNA from 1 species